rnacentral:misc_RNA from 1 species
AAAGUCGUAACAAGGUUUCCGUAGGUGAACCUGCGGAAGGAUCAUUAUGAAUCAGUAGCUUGCUACUGCGCUGGGGGAGAUGGGAAAGUCCUAGCUGAAAAGUUAGUGUACCGGUACCUGCACCCCUAUCAUACCCUUGUCUUUUGAGCACUUAUGUUUCCUUGGUGGGCUUGCCUGCCGAUAGGACAACCUUUAAACCUUUUAAUAUAUCAAUCAGCGUCUGAAAAAUAAUUAAUAAUUACAACUUUCAACAACGGAUCUCUUGGUUCUG